rnacentral:tRNA from 1 species
AGCUCAGUAGUUUAAUGGUAAAGCGCUCGUCGUGGAACCAGAGGGUCCUGGGUUCGAUCCUCCAGCAGGGUCG